rnacentral:lncRNA from 1 species
AAUAAUGGAUAAUUACUGCAUAUUUAUGCAAAGGCAGCAACAGCCGUAGCAAAGCAUAUUUGCGCCGAUUGUUGCCGAGCGAUAUGCAACCUUGACGACCUGUUGAGAACGUUGCUAACACAUAUAUACAUGCUCAUGCCCACGCUUAGCAGCAAACAACUUAGUUCUAGCGAACGCGUUGCUGACCAAGGCUGUGACUUUCCCACGCCUCGGUAACUUCCAUCCAUCCCGGCCCACCGCAUGGCGCGCAAGCAACGCGAAACAUCCGGCGUGCCCCGCCACCCCGACCACCGCCCGGGCCGGCGCGCACUCUGCACUCCAUACAUAUGCGUGUAUCUCGUCCAGGACGCGGAGGCACGUACGUUCGUACGUACGAGGUGUUGCCUGGAAAGGCUAUCCCCUGGGGACGCAACAGCCCAUAACGAAUUUGAAGGAAGACCGUCUUCUUCUGUAGGC